AGCAACACUUAGCAACAGCAACUCGGCAAACACAAGCAUUAAGGACAGACAGACACAGAGGGGCAGAGAGGCUAUUCACUUUUGACGACUCACAUUCACCAGUUAACAAAUUCAGUCAGUUCUAUUUUAAUGCCACAGCAGAAUGAGACAGGGGAAUGAAACUGCUCUCCUGAGGAUCUUUCUUCUACAAAAGAGCAGGACUUGUCUGAAAGGACAGUGUUUGGAGCAGGAUUUGUCUGAGAGGACAGUAUCUAGAACAGGAUUUGUCUCAGAGGACAGUAAUCUAGAACAGGAUUUGUCUGAAAGGACAGUGUCUGGAGCAGGAUUUGUCUGAGAGGACAGUGUCUGGAACAGGAUUUGCCUGAGAGGACAGUGUCUGGAGCAGGAUUUGUCUGAAAGGACAGUGUCUGGAGCAGGAUUUGUCUGAGAGGACCGUAUCUGGAGCAGGAUUUGUCUGAGAGGACCGUAUCUAACUGUUAUUCCUUAGUGUUUUAAGAAGCAGCAGGGUUUUAGUCAUGAAAGAUAUUGCUCUAUCGCUACUCAGUCGAGGCUGUGGUCAUGUUGUCCAGUCUCAUCUGGGUAGUCAAGAUGGACGCCUGGAAGUCUACUUCGAACCUAAGGACUACUAUCAUUGGAAGUCUCAGCCCCCCCUGCUCCGCUUAUCUAAGAGUGGCCGUCUGCUGGGCGGGGAGGAGCCAGCGCUCCCUAAAACCUACAGCACAAGACAGGGACCGCUCUUCUUAUACUACCAGGAAAUGGCCAUGACGUCAUCGUUUCUGUCAUCAUGCCCCUCAGUGUCAGAGGACAUCAGGAAGGGGCAGGCCUCCCAACAUUCCAGACAGGAAGUGGAGCUCCAGCUGAACACUCUGCGGGACCUGACGGGAGCCAUACUGGCUUAUGGGAAAAAGCAGCUUCGUGAGGAAGGAGAAGGCAAAGACACCAACCAGCCUGUCCUCCCCCUCCCCUCCAGUCAUGAGACCUACUAUCCUCCCAUCAAGCCCUCCUACUCCAGACACCCCACCAAGGGUUGGACUCCCUUCAGGUCUACCUGGAACCCCCAGGCAGCUCCCACCCACCUGGAGCAGCUUACAGAUGAUCCAGAGCUGUGUAGGGGCCAUGUCAAGACCCCACGCCCCACUCCAGCUACAGGUGGCCUUUACCUCCCCAGGCCUGGCCUGGCAGUCUCCC
rnacentral:lncRNA from 13 species